UUUCAGGAAACAGAGCGACCUCAGGGCAAGGGACCACGAGAAAUGAAGACAUUCCCUAGGUAUCUGAGAGCUGGCAAUCAAAAGCUGAUGGAGGAUGCUUCAGUAUUUCAACUAUAUGCAAGAACUGAUCAAGACGCCAUAAAGUGCAACUUGGAGCAACUGCAGACCAUGAAAUCGAAUAUUUUCUACAAAUAACAAUAAAGAAAUGAAAUAUAGCAUGCGGAAGGGUGUAGGAACAUAAAACUGCAUGGACAAAGAAGAGAAUCCGUGGAUCACGCAGAAACAAUAUAAGAGACAAAAGUGGAACUUCUGCAGUCCCAGCUACUCAGAAGGCUGACGCAGGAGGAUCGCUUGAGCCCAGGAGUUUGAGCCUGCAGCGAGCUAUGUUCAUACCACUGCACCCCAGCCUGAGUGACAGAGUAAAACCCUGUCUCUAAAAAAGAAAAAAAAAAGUAGAACCCAUAGGAAGC
rnacentral:lncRNA from 1 species